AUUACACAAAUAUGAAGGCGGGCUGGAACCUCUCGGGGUUACAGCCUUGCUGAAUUAUUCACCCUUGUCUUUUGCGUACUUCUUGUUUCCUUGGUGGGUUCGCCCACCACUAGGACAAACAUAAACCUUUUGUAAUUGCAAUCAGCGUCAGUAACAAAUUAAUAAUUACAACUUUCAACAACGGAUCUCUUGGUUCUGGCAUCGAUGAAGAACGCAGCGAAAUGCGAUAAGUAGUGUGAAUUGCAGAAUUCAGUGAAUCAUCGAAUCUUUGAACGCACAUUGCGCCCUUUGGUAUUCCAAAGGGCAUGCCUGUUCGAGCGUCAUUUGUACCCUCAAGCUUUGCUUGGUGUUGGGCGUCUUGUCUCUAGCUUUGCUGGAGACUCGCCUUAAAGUAAUUGGCAGCCGGCCUACUGGUUUCGGAGCGCAGCACAAGUCGCACUCUCUAUCAGCAAAGGUCUAGCAUCCAUUAAGCCUUUUUUUCAACUUUUGACCUCGGAUCAGGUAGGGAUACCCGCUGAACUUAAGCAUAUCAAUAAGCGGAGGAAAAGAAACCAACAGGGAUUGCCCUAGUAACGGCGAGUGAAGCGGCAACAGCUCAAAUUUGAAAUCUGGCUCUUUUAGAGUCCGAGUUGUAAUUUGCAGAGGGCGCUUUGGCUUUGGCAGCGGUCCAAGUUCCUUGGAACAGGACGUCACAGAGGGUGAGAAUCCCGUACGUGGUCGCUGGCUAUUGCCGUGUAAAGCCCCUUCGACGAGUCGAGUUGUUUGGGAAUGCAGCUCUAAAUGGGAGGUACAUUUCUUCUAAAGCUAAAUAUUGGCCAGAGACCGAUAGCGCACAAGUAGAGUGAUCGAAAGAUGAAAAGCACUUUGGAAAGAGAGUCAAACAGCACGUGAAAUUGUUGAAAGGGAAGCGCUUGCAGCCAGACUUGCUUACAGUUGCUCAUCCGGGUUUCUACCCGGUGCACUCUUCUGUAGGCAGGCCAGCAUCAGUUUGGGCGGUAGGAUAAAGGUCUCUGUCACGUAC
rnacentral:rRNA from 1 species